rnacentral:sRNA from 1 species
AGUUUUUUUUCUCUCCGGCUAAAGGAAGAAGAGAAGGUACCACAAUGCCUCCUCGCACGGGAAAGGAUAAACAAAACCCCAGGCUCCCACCGGAGGUGACUCGCCUACUCUACAUUUGUAACCUUCCCUUUAGCAUAACAAGCGAAGAUACGUACGAUCUUUUCGGAAGGUACAGUACGAUUCGUCAGGUUCGAAUCGGUUGUGAAAAGGGCACAAAAGGUACGGCUUUCGUCGUAUACGAGGAUAUCUACGAUGCUAAGAAAGCUGUCGACCAUCUCUGGCUUCAACAUAGCGAACCGGUACCUUAUCGUGCACUAUUACCAACAUGCGAAGAUGAGCAAGAAGUUUGACUUGAAACAUCUGUUAGUCAACGCUAACUACUGAUGACUCAGCUGACCCGUGAGUAUCAACGAGGCAUAUUCUUCAACUAAAACGACCUUGUUUUGCUAUUUUGAAUUUAUU